AGAGUUUGAUCAUGGCUCAGAACGUACGCUGGCGGCACGCCUAACACAUGCAAGUCGAACGAAGUAGCAAUACUUAGUGGCAGACGGGUGAGUAACAUGUAGGUAUCUGCCCUUUGGCCUGGAAUAACACGAGGAAACUUGUGCUAAUACCGGAUAAGUCUUUACGGAGAAAGCUUUAUGCACCAUUGGAUGAGCCUGCACUUGAUUAGUUUGUUGGUGGGGUAAUGGCCUACCAAGACUGUGAUCAAUAGCUGAUUUGAGAGGAUGAUCAGCCACAUUGGGACUGAGACACGGCCCAAACUCCUACGGGAGGCAGCAGUGGGGAAUCUUGCACAAUGGAGGAAACUCUGAUGCAGCGAUGCCGCGUGAGUGAAGAAGGCCUUCGGGUUGUAAAGCUCUUUCACAAGAGAAGAAAUCUUACUAUCAAAUAAAUAGUAAGGAUGACGGUAUCUUGAGAAGAAGCACCGGCUAACUACGUGCCAGCCGCCGCGGUAAUAC
rnacentral:rRNA from 1 species